CCCACCUAAAGGAAAGGCGCACAGCGGGCAGCUGAGGCGCCAGACCACGCUGCCCAAGAGAGGCCAAGUCGCUCUGGCCCGGAGCGUGACAGCAGGCGAGGCUGGUUACCCUCAGAAAGAGAUAACUACACGCCCCCAGGGCAAAAACUGACCCCCCUCCCCCAGGUGGACUUGCAGACAAGAGCAACACCUUUAAGGCAGGUCACACUGGUGGUUUCUCCCUACCCUGGUCCAAAUCAAUAACCAGUGUGGGAACCAUCAAACAUUUAAAGCCUUAUCAUGAGCCGAGGUUAUCACCAUUACAGGCAGAAAAAUUCUGCCUGACCUUUCCCAUCUUCCUGAUGAUGUUAACAAACGACAGCCACUUACUUGGGGCACAGGAGGCGGCUCUACACAGGCCAAGAGCUACAGGCUACAGACUGAGCACAGAAAACCCUGCAGCUCCAGCAUCCA